GAUUCAAAAGGUGGAUGUCGAAAUAAUUACCAAGACGCUUCCUUCGUCUUUCUCGAGAGCCUCACGGAUAGUGUUUCCCAAGUCUCCUUCUGGCAUUUUGAGAUCGUCUUUGAGCUCGCAAGAUUCUGGAUCCAUGAGCGAGCAGAACCCGUCUUCGAUCGACAUGAGCUGAAAAUUUGAUCAAUAACAUUUUUUACAGCUGAUUAACUCAUUUUUCAAAAGAUUUGUUUAACCGUCCAA
ensembl:ncRNA T05G5.17 ncRNA